ensembl:lncRNA
CAGGAAGCCACCAUGUCCGGCCAAGAAAAAGUCUAGUCUACUACACAACCCCACCCCACCCCACCACCCUAAAGCAUUAACCUUUUUCUUAACCUGAGAUGAGAGCACCAUCUCACAGACAAGCACAUUGUGGUUGUUGGAAAAGGUAGAGGGGACGAGCUUUUGUGUUGAAGCUUGAAAGCUGUUACAAAUUCUUUGGCAUGUGUUAAGAAAAGCAAACUGGGUUGAAUAUAUACACAUCUCUUUUUUUUUUGGUUAUUUUUCCAUUUUCUUUGUUUUUCCCCAAGAGAUAUUGCACCCACUGACAGACUGAACUUCAUAAUACAGAAACUGUGAAGCAUAUGACUAAAGAGGAUUGGAGGGGGAGAGGAGCCUAGAGGAAAGGAGAGGAGGUAAGUUUAGCGUGACAGGCUAAAGAGGAGCUCAGCAAUGUUCACAUGAACACAAGAAAAAUUACAGGGGAGUUCUUUGCAGAAAACUGCCAACUACAGCUCAGAAGGUGCGGCCCCAAAGAAGCGUGCAUUUAUGUGUUUGAUCACAUGACUCUCUAGCACUUAUGCAGCCAAUCAGCUGUAGCGAUUCUGGUUCACUGCGAAGUUUACUGGGUCACUACAAAUCAGAGGGAAGGCAUUGAAUGAGAUAGGAAAAAGGGAAUAAGACUGUUACACUUGCCAGCUUUCUUGAAGGCCUUAUUUUUUGUCUCUUAUAAAUCUCUUUUUUUCAUUUAUUACUUCUUGUUAUAGGAAAUAUAUUUGCUGCUGCUUAGUUUAACUAAAAGAGCAGUGAUACACAGAUCGCUGUCAGAUUCAGUCUCCCAUUACUGUGAGUUAACAGCAUAAAAAUAUUAUUCAUCCUUCACUGUUUCUGAAUUCAGGUCCCAGGUGUAAAUGUCAGACAGCAUGGCAGCACACACCUGAAGUUGUUAAGAAGCUACUGUCAGUAUAUUUAUCACCAAUAUCCUGCUGAGUGUGUAAAUGUGCACAUCAGUUUGUCCAACAUCUUUUGGUUUCCUGUCUACUUUCCUCCAGCUAUUAUUG